rnacentral:lncRNA from 1 species
GUCAGGUUGAUAUGGCUAGGCGGCCUGCUGGCGAGAUAGUGGGAGUGGGCGGUCCGCCCCUCAGGACCUCUGAUUUGGACAGAUGACUGGAUGACUCUCUGGGGCAGCAUUCACCGGAACUCAUAUGGAGGGGACUGCCUGAGAAACCAACCUGUGUGCCUGGGUCAGGUUGAUAUGGCUAGGCGGCCUGCUGGCGAGAUAGUGGGAGUGGGCGGUCCGCCCCUCAGGACCUCUGACUUGGACAGAUGACUGGAUGACUCUCUGGGGCAGCAUUCACCGGAACUCAUAUGGAGGGGGCUGCCUGAGAAACCAACCUGUGUGCCUGGGUCAGGUUGAUAUGGCUAGGCGGCCUGCUGGCGAGAUAGUGGGAGUGGGCGGUCCGCCCCUCAGGACCUCUGACUUGGACAGAUGACUGGAUGACUCUCUGGGGCAGCAUUCACCGGAACUCAUAUGGAGGGGGCUGCCUGAGAAACCAACCUGUGUGCCUGGGUCAGGUUGAUAUGGCUAGGCGGCCUGCUGGCGAGAUAGUGGGAGUGGGCGGUCCGCCCCUCAGGACCUCUGACUUGGACAGAUGACUGGAUGACUCUCUGGGGCAGCAUUCACCGGAACUCAUAUGGAGGGGGCUGCCUGAGAAACCAACCUGUGUGCCUGGGUCAGGUUGAUAUGGCUAGGCGGCCUGCUGGCGAGAUAGUGGGAGUGGGCGGUCCGCCCCUCAGGACCUCUGACUUGGACAGAUGACUGGAUGACUCUCUGGGGCAGCAUUCACCGGAACUCAUAUGGAGGGGGCUGCCUGAGAAACCAACCUGUGUGCCUGGGU